rnacentral:misc_RNA from 1 species
AGGACGCCGAAGGUGGGGCUGAUGACUGGGGUGAAGUCGUAACAAGGUAGCCGUACCGGAAGGUGCGGCUGGAUCACCUCCUAACCAGGGAGACAAAAAAACUGAUUGAGAUGUCUUAGUUAAAUAUACUUAGGCCUCAAUCCUGUCACCUUAGGUCGAUCGGUACCUCAGAUUAAUAAUCCAAAGAUUAAGAUCGAUUAAUUUUUGGAAUUGAUUUCAGUUCCUAAACUUUGUCUAGGUCACACCCAACAAGGGUUUCUCCUGGGCCAUUAGCUCAGGUGGUUAGAGCGCACCCCUGAUAAGGGUGAGGUCCCUGGUUCAAGUCCAGGAUGGCCCAUUCGUUGUUGGGGGUAUAGCUCAGUUGGUAGAGCGCCUGCUUUGCAAGCAGGAUGUCAGCGGUUCGAGUCCGCUUACCUCCACUGAUUAACUUCCUGAUAACCCUAAUGGAGCAACUUUUGUUAAUUGUGAUUUAGAUUUGUUUAAUUGAAAUGACCCUAGCUUCCUGUCAUUCCUUUCUAAUUUAUUUGGUAAAGGUUGAUAAGAUGCUGGGCUCUCUGGAAUGAUUUCCAGUGAUUUCAGUAGAACCUUGACAACUGCAUAGGUAAGUCUGAAAAGAAUAAAGCAUCUCAUGGAUGCAUAACUCUUUUUUAAUUUAAAAAUCUAUCUCUAGAUUAUUAAACAAAAAAGAAUUCAUGUUUAAUUCUUGAGUAAUAGCCGAGAUCCAUCAUUUUCUGAUGGAAAUUGAUUAAGGUCAAGCUACAA